rnacentral:rRNA from 1 species
GUUGAACGCUAGCGGCAGGCCUAACACAUGCAAGUCGAGCGGAUGAAGGGAGCUUGCUCCUGGAUUCAUCGGCGGACGGGUGAGUAAUGCCUAGUAAUCUGCCUGCUAGUGGGGGAUAACGUCCGGAUACGGGCGCUAAUACCGCAUACGUCCUCAGUGAGAUCGUGGGGGAUCUUCUGACCUCGCGCUAUCAGAUAACCCUAGGUGGGAUGAGCUCGUUGGUGGGGUAAAGGCAUACCCAGGCGACGAUCCGUAACUGGUCUGAGAGGAUGAUCAGGGACACUGGAACUGAGACACGGUCCAGACUACUACGGGAGGCAGCAGUGGGGAAUAUUGGACUAUGGGCGAAAGGCUGAUCUAGCCAUGCCGCGUGGGUGAAGAAGGUCUUCGGAUUGUAAAGCACUUUAAGUUGGGAGGAAGGGUAGUAAGUUAAUACCUUGAUGUUUUGCCGUUACCAAAAGAAUAAGCACCGGCUAACUUCGUG